UGGUUCAGUAGCGAGUGGCAUUUAAACGUGCAUUCUUGAAAUGUAGUUAGCAUCUUUGAACUUGCUUUGAUAUUCGCACAUGAAAGAUUGUGCGCUAUUGGAAACUCGGUCCCAUGUGGUUUUUCAAAACAGUUGCAAACAACAAAUGUUGCUUUUCCAAAAACCACGACCCGAUUGGUUUUUUUUUUCAGAUCAAAGAUAAUGUAUUGCCAGCGAAGUCACAAUAGUAAAUGUGAUAUGAUAUAAUUCAAGGACAUCAGCCAAAGUAUGUUCAGGUCCGUGAUCUGGAAGAUAAGGGGGUAACUGAAAGAAAAUUACUUCCAGAUUAUGAGAAACCCAGGGCCCUGACAGAUAACUUGACUGGAAUUGGGGGGAAAUGAAAAUACAUAUUGAUGCACUCCAGGGAAGAAAUAAAAAUAGACCAAUUCCAUAUGUGUAACCAGGUAAAGUAAUGGGAUGGUUCCAGUGUAAGAGCUGGAAACACUGAUGUGAACAGGACCCCUUUAAAAUGCAGCCGGAGCUGCCACCCCAGAGCCACGGCCCUGCACACCCUAGUCCUCAAACUUUGGGUGUUAAAAUGGGACAGAAUGGCUUUGGACUGCACCUGGAGCAACAUUUAUCCCUAACAACCAUUCGCAAAGGUUCAGUUUCUUCUUAAGCAAGGAUUUGGAUGGAGUCGGUCUACUUGUCCUUCGGGGAUGUGAUGGAGCCACUGGCCGCUGCUUACAACUCGAAGAGACUAGCACAUGGUCCCUGACCCUCGGAAAUGUGUCUAAGCCUUGAAGGGGUCCGAAACGCACUCCUGUCUUCAUCAACAUUCCAUCGAGGCACCUGCUGCUUCCCGGUAAGCACUACGGGAGAGGAGGAAAGGCGAGAGACAGAGAGAACGUGAGGUUAUGUUCACGAGAUCUGCCAGUGAUGGGCAAUGGGUGUUCCACGCCCGGUCAGUGCUCCUGGAAGGAGGUGUGGGUUCCUGAAAUGCUUUUCUGAGGGAUCACCGAGAUGCCACAGCAGGUGCUUGGGGUGAGGAUGACAUGGUCGCCGGUGUCCUCAGGUGUGGGGUUCUCCCUCUGCAAGAGCCGUUUCAGUUCUUCUCAGAAGUGGUCUCGCAUCCCCAGCAGAAUAUAAACUCCACGACGGGGAGAAUCUUAUCCGUCUUGUUCACUGUUGGGAACAAUCACACCUGGUUCCGAGUAAGGGCUCAAUGGCUAUUGGAUGAAUGAUGAGUGAAUGAAUGUUACAGAGUCUGCAUUAUUAUCCCAUUUUUACGGAUAAGUAAACUGGGGCAUGAAAAGGAGAAAAAUUCACCUGAGAUUAUCCCCUACCACCCCUCAUUGUCUGAGAUGGACUUGAGAUUCAAACAACCAAGGUCGUUUGCCUUUUGUUAAAUCUCUAACAUUAAUUUAUGUGCAUAAGGUUCAUUACUGGAUUAUUAUUAAUAAACUGGGUUUAUGGCUGUGUUUA